UUGGAGGGCAAGUCUGGUGCCAGCAGCCGCGGUAAUUCCAGCUCCAAUAGCGUAUAUUAAAGUUGUUGCAGUUAAAAAGCUCGUAGUUGAAUUUCGGAAUCUGUCCAUCGGUCGGGCUUCACUGUCCGUACUGGUGUGGUGGGUUCUUACCUUCUGAAUAACCAGCAUGCCAUUCAUUUGGUGCGUUGGGGAAGCAGGACUAUUACCUUGAAAAAAUUAGAGUGCUCAAAGCAGGCUAGUGCCUGAAUACAUUAGCAUGGAAUAAUAAAAUAGGACGGCAUGGUUCUAUUUUGUUGGUUUCUAGGAUCACCGUAAUGAUUAAUAGGGAUAGUUGGG
rnacentral:misc_RNA from 1 species